CAAGCUAGUCAAAACUUGGUCAAGGUUCUAUGGAUACAAGAAGAGCCUAAAAUAAUCAACCUGAUUCAAAUAAGUCAACAUCAUGAAGAGAAAGUCCAACCUUGAGAGAAAGAUGAAUUUUUAGCCAUCUUUGAAGAAUAAAGGUCAUUCAACCAUAUUGGACCACAUUAGGAAUUGUGGGCUUAUUCAUGAAUAAUUAUUCGAAACAAUUCAAUGUAGAUUCAUGAGUAAUCUACAUUCAUGCAUUAGGAAUAUGAAUGUCGUUUAAUAUAUUCAUUCCCUUUGUACUUGGCCUUUGUACUAUAUAAACAAGGUCGACUCUCUUUGUAAGGGGAGAAAAAAUUGAGAAG
rnacentral:lncRNA from 1 species